AAACCCCACCCAGCCUGGACACAGACAGGACUGGCAGAUUGAGAGCUCUUUCUAAAUUCCAUGGGUGAUGGUGCCCUGCCAUUCUUUGUGCAGUGACUUGUCUGGUUAUUUCCAAUAACAAACAAUACUGUGGCAUGCUAACUAGUUAUGCGCCCCCUCAGUGGUUGAUGUCCAAAUUCUUCAAGGGACAAGUGGCAUUCAGCAACAUGAGGUAGAGCAACAACAGGUCUGUGAUGCUCUUUACUGUG
rnacentral:ncRNA from 1 species